rnacentral:rRNA from 1 species
AUUGAACGCUGGCGGCAGGCUUAACACAUGCAAGUCGAGCGAGCGGCGGACGGGUGAGUAAUGUCUGGGAAACUGCCUGAUGGAGGGGGAUAACUACUGGAAACGGUAGCUAAUACCGCAUACCAUCAGAUCGGCCCAGAUGGGAUUAGCUAGUAGGUGGGUUAGUGGCUACCCUAGGCGACGAUCCCUAGCUGGUCCGAGGGGAUGACCAGCCACCCUGGAACUGUGACACGGUCCAGACUCCUACGGUAGGCAGCAGUGGGGAAUAUUGCCAAAUGGGCGCAAGCCUGAUGCGGCCAUGCCGGGUGGGGGAAAAAGGCCUUCGGGUUGUAAAGCACGUUCAGCGAGGAGGCGUUACUCGCAGAAGAAGCACCGGCUAACUCCGUGCCAGCAGCCGCGGUAAUAC